AGUGAACGCUGGCGGUAGGCCUAACACAUGCAAGCCGAACGGCAGCACAGUAAGAGCUUGCUCUUACGGGUGGCGAGUGGCGGACGGGUGAGGAAUACAUCGGAAUCUACUUUUUCGUGGGGGAUAACGUAGGGAAACUUACGCUAAUACCGCAUACGACCUACGGGUGAAAGCAGGGGAUCUUCGGACCUUGCGCGAUUGAAUGAGCCGAUGUCGGACUAGCUAGUUGGCGGGGUAGAGGCCCACCAAGGCGACGAUCCGUAGCUGGUCUGAGAGGAUGAUCAGCCACACUGGAACUGAGACACGGUCCAGACUCCUACGGGAGGCAGCAGUGGGGAAUAUUGGACAAUGGGCGCAAGCCUGAUCCAGCCAUACCGCGUGGGUGAAGAAGGCCUUCGGGUUGUAAAGCCCUUUUGUUGGGAAAGAAAAGCAGCAGGUUAAUACCCCGCUGUUCUGACGGUACCCAAAGAAUAAGCACCGGCUAACUUCGUG
rnacentral:rRNA from 1 species